rnacentral:rRNA from 1 species
CCUACGGGGGGCAGCAGUGGGGAAUAUUGCACAAUGGGCGAAAGCCUGAUGCAGCAACGCCGCGUGAAGGAAGACGGUUUUCGGAUUGUAAACUUCUAUCAAUAGGGAAGAAAGAAAUGACGGUACCUAAAUAAGAAGCCCCGGCUAACUACGUGCCAGCAGCCGCGGUAAUACGGAGGAUGCGAGCGUUAUCCGGAUUUAUUGGGUUUAAAGGGUGCGUAGGCGGAAUGCCAAGUCAGCGGUAAAAUCGCGGGGCUCAACCUCGCUCCGCCGUUGAAACUGGCGUUCUUGAGUGGGCGAGAAGU